UGAUUUUACAUUUUAUGCCUUUUGACAUGAAAAGAAAUCAAGUCAAUCCAUUAAGAUAGUGUGUGUAGACUACCCUUAGCGCUAUUCACUAUUACUCUUUUUAGUGCUCAAAUUCCCACCUCAGAACUGCAGCUAGAGAUGGAUUUAUGUACCUAAAGCAAUUAUUAAAGUUUGUCAGAAAAUAAACUGGCACAGAUUUGCUGCACUGAUACAGGUAUUCUUAUUUUCCAACUUUAAGAUGCUUCCUAACAUUCUGACUUGGAAUUAAAAACAAACAAAGACAAAACAAAACCAAAAAACCUAAUGCUGUGGCUCUUCUCUCGGGUUUGCUGAUAGCAUUUACUUGAAGAACCAUAGCUUUCAAGAUGCAAUGUUCUAUGAUCAUCCCUCUUCUCCCUUCUCCACUUCCUUCCGCAUUGUUUAUUGGGAAUCACAGGCUCUAACUGGCUGUAGAAAGAGUGUUACUAAUAAGGGAUUGUAGUAUUCUGCCUCCAGGGCAGCCCCAAUACUCCCUGUUCCUUAGUAUUUACCCCAUUGUGCAAUCCCUUCCUACACUGUACAAGGAUUGAUUCAUAUAGUAGAUAACAUAUAGCAGAAAAAAUGGGAUGUAAUUUCUGAGAUUACUAAAGUUUCCAUCUUGAAUAUUUUUUCCCUCUCUUCUCUCUCUUUCCUGGAUUCUCAUUAGGGUUGAGGCCAAUUGUGGCAUCUUGAAGACACUCAGGCAGCCUAUGGAGAAACGCCUUUGAUAAGGAAUAGAAGCUUGCCAGCAGCCACUCGAGUGAGCUUAGGAGUGGGUUCACCAGCACCAGUGAAGCUUUGAGAUAACUGAUGCCCUGGCUGACCCGUUGACUGUAAUCUGAUGAGAGAUGCUGAACCAAAACCAUCCAGUUACUGUCAAUGUGUCUUCACAUGGCCCUUCACCGUUCAUCUCCAGAAUGUGGCUUGGGGAAAUGUUUGUUCCUCACAAGGAGUAUUGUCUCAUUAAUACAAUCACACCAUCGAAACAACUCUGAUGGGAUACUAUUUGGAAAUAUUCACACAUUCUUUUACCUUGAUCUUUCUCCCCAUUCACAGGAGCUAGAUUGUGUGACAUUUUCAGGAAUAGGUGUUACAACAAAAAAUGAGAAAAAGAGUUUUAUUGUUUCAAAAGUCUGGGCCCUGAGAUAACUCAUAACUAUAGAAAAAGAAUGCAGUGAGGCAGAGUUAGACUUCCAACUCCUAAAAGAAACACAAAACUUUAGAUAGCCUCAUAUCUUACGGGAACAGCUAAUGAUUUCACUGCACCGAGGAAUGGGACUAAAAUGUGAGGAACAGAGCCCAAUCUGACACCUUGCAGUAGCAAUGAGGAAUGAUUCAAAGGGAUCCAUGUGGCUGGCAGUUGGGAACCACCGAAGAAUAAGGAAAUCUCAGCAGGGCAAUGCAUAGCUGUUCAUAACCAUGGAGAUCAGAGGUGCCCCUUCUAAGACUCUGGGAUGAUAUGAGCCUCCAGCAGCUUGGAUACAACCUGAGAAAAAGUUAGGUGAACUCCAAGAUGCUAAGAUUAAGUUCUAUGACCUGAUUACAGAGGGAAUUCAGAAAGAAUGUUACCAUUGACUCCCAAGUCCUUUGUGUGCCUCUUCCCAAUUCUGUUCAUUUUCUCUCCUCUCAGUUAUAACUACUUUCAUAAUGUUGUGUUCAUUAUUCUACCUUUUUUCUUUAUAAUUCACUACAUUUGGAUGUACCUCUAAAUUUUGUUUAGUUUUGCAUGUUUUUGAAUGUUUUUUAAAUGGAAUUAUACUGUAUCUAUUCUUCAACAAAGUUUUUCGCUCAACAUUUAUCUUCUUUUUUCAUCCAAGGUGAUGCAUUUGAAUGAAUUCAUGUAUUUCCACUACCGUAUAGAAUUUUAUAUAAAUACAUGACAAUUAUUUAUCUAUUUUCUUAUAAAGAGCAUUUAAAUUUUUUUCAUAUUUUGGCUAUUACAAACAAUAUUACUAUAAAUAUUCUUCAACAUGUCUUCUCCUUCACAUACACAAGAGCUUCUCAGAGGCAAAGCUAAGAAUGGAAUUGCUCAGUGUAUCUUAGGGUAGAUCAGCUGCUGAUAGAAACUAUUGCAAAAUCUCACUAACUUAACGCUACAAACAUUGCUUCUAACUCACUGCAAACCCCAUGUGAAUAUUCCUGGUUAAUUGAUUCUCUUGGACAGAUUGCCACAAAUUGUGCUGCUAAAAUCCUCAGCACUUGGUGUUAUAGUAACCUUGGAAGACAUCCUGAAGAAGACACAGAAGAUCACCACUUUGGCUCAGAAAUGACACUUACAGAUUCUGUUCACACUCAAUUGGCUGGAAGUAAUCUCAUGAUCCUGACUAGAUGUGAGAAAGCUGGGAAACCUAGUUUCUGGCUGGACAGCAGUUUCCCAACCACACAUGUACACUAUAGAAAUGGAGCAUAAAUAUUUAUUGGUUCUGUUAGUGAGUUCUGCUGCAGCUAGGUUGUACAGACUGCUUAUGUUCAAUUUUGCAAGAUAAUUACCAUUUGUUUUCUAAGAGGUGGUAACAAUUUGCACCACCAUUAGCAGUGUAAGAAUUCUAGUUGCUCUGUAUCUCAUUUAUUAUGAUAUCUUGUAAGUCACUUCAUUGUAUAAUUAUACAGAUUUGUAUUUCUUUUUGAAAUAUGUAAAUUCCUCAGAGGUGUAUAUCAAAUAAAUUAUUAAACCAUUUUGUGAUGAAGGAAUUAAAGUAUAGAUUACAUAAUCUAUUAAAGUUUGGCCAGUAGGGCCUAGACUUUAUUCUUCAUAACCUAGCCGUCUUUUCUGAGGGUUUUAGAAAUUUCCAUCAUAUGCACUGAAAGCUUUCUUAUUGUUUCUGUUUUUCCCUGUAAAUUUAAGUGCUUAGAAUAGUGCCAUAUAAAUUAUUAGCAAUCAAUACCUAUUCUUUGAAUGAAUAAAUAAAUGAAUUUCUAUGAAGCAGUCACAUUUCAAAUCUUCAUCAUCUGGUUAUAUUAUAGUCUGUUUUAUUUCAGGUCGAAUUCAUUGGUUUGUAAAUAAGAAUUGAAAAUCAUAUAUUUAAGGGACAAUUACCUCGUCAUGUAAAUGGCCAAAUAUUCCUUUUGGGGGAAUAAAAAGCAGAAGCUUAUUUAUGUCAAAGUGUGUUGCUUCUUGCUUAUUCAUUAUAGUUACUUAUUUUGAGCAAGAAAUAACUAGUUUGGCUUCCUCUAUGUGCCAUGUUUUCAUUCUUAUCUAGAGAUUAAUCAUCACUACCUGAACCACAGAAGCUUGCACAGAUAGUGCUUGUUCUCUAUGAAACUUAUGAAUCAAAUGCUACAAACAUUCUUUCUUCCUGAGAGAAAUCAGAACAGGAAAUGUCAAGUUCAUGACCAUCAAUCACACAGAAGGAGAGAGAUCAGUAUAAAUUCUAUAGAGUUUCAGAUUUGUUAGGUUUAUAAUGAAGGUUCAAAGGGAAAGGGAGUUAGGAAGUACAAGUUAGCAUGUAAUAAUGAUUGCUUUUUGCCUUUUCUUAUUAAAGCUUUUCCUAGACUAUGAAUAGUGGAUGAUUACAAAUAGUUACUUUGAUUUUCUAUAGAAAUUGCAAAACUACAUUUGUUAGGAGAAAAAAUCAACUUUGUUCUUUUAGAAUAACAUUUUUUCUUAUGUUAAAAAGGGAAAAAUAUCUUUUCUUUCUUUGUAAUAUCAAGUAUAAUUAAAGAGAGAUUUAGAUUGCUCAUGCUGAGGCUCCUACUUCCCAAUGCAUAAAUCAUGUUUUGUAGAUCAGUGAGUUUUGCAUUAUUUAAUGGUGUGGUAGCAUAAUCAUCUUAGAUCAGUUUGUUCAGCUUGCAAGGCCAUGGGUUCAGAUGUUACGGAGCAGUCAGCUUUUCUUAGUUGUAAAACAAGCCUGAAAUGGGUUGGACUGAAGGGGAGUGGCUGAUGCAUCCACCCUCCCAGAGAGAAGGGCAAUGAGAAGGCAUGAUGAGGGGCACUUUCAGGUGGAGUGAGAAGUUCUGGGACAAGAUUUUAUGAAGCCCUGGGACAAGAUUCUCCAGUGUUUUAGGGUGGUAUAUUUGUGCAAUUUCACAGGAAUGGAUAUAUGUCUUCCUGAUAAAGGUGGUACUUUGGAAACAAAUGCACCUGGUGCUGGCAUAGAUUCAGGGAGGUCAGACACUGAAGGCAUGUAGGUAUGAAUGAACAUGAGUUAAUAUUUAUUAGCCAAUUCUUGGUGAAGGGAUUAGUUUGCAUUCUCAUAUAAGGAAAGGGGGAAAGCCUUUAAUGCUCCAUCUACUACUUGGGUAGGAGACCAUCAUAGACAGCACAGGUAUCACCAAAUUCCUGCUAAGCAAGGGAGUCUGAAAAGCAUCUCACCUAGGGCCUCCUCCUGCCUCUACCAGAGGCAUAUGACAGACGCAGGUCCCAUUUAUGUUUGGAUGCAGCAUUAGUGUGUCAGGAGGAUGGUAACAGCAGUUAUCCAGUGGUGCCAAAGAAUUUUAGGUAAUUAUGCAGAUUAGUACCUUUCGUCAUGUAGCAGACUAAUGCCAAAUAGAAAAUUGCCCUGAGAGUGGUGGUGAAUGUAAGAAGCAUGUCCACUGGGAGGGACCACUUGUAAACCUCCAGCUAGAGCAUCAGGAUAUGCUUUAUUCAGUUCAGACAGACUUCUGGGGUGAUGCUUACCUCUUGGGCCAGAGCUUUCCCUGAGUGAUGCGCAGUCCGCAGGGACUCAGGUGUGAAACAUGCUGAAACAUCAUUGCUCUAGCAGGAAGGGAAAACAUCAGAAGUGGGGAAGGGAUGAGCUCUGCCUCCAUCUCUCAUGCCAGUAUGACUGGAGAAGAAAGAGACUGAAGAUCAGAGAAAAAAAAAUCCCACUUUUAAAAUUUUUCUCCUGGGAAAUGUCUCUAAAGAUAGAUUCUUAGGAAAAUGAAUACUCAAGGUUGACCUGUCAUAAAAUUGGAUAAUUGCAGCACACAGCCUUACCCUUUCUAGAAACAUUUGAAUUAUUUUCUUAUUUAAGAAGAUGCAGGGUGAAUAAGUUUAUAUAGAUGCUUGCAAAUAUUUUUUUCUACUUAUAUCUCAUGAAACAAUUCUUCAAACUCUUCACAUCUACAAAAUUGGUGUCUUUCUAGGAAGCAUGUUUUGAAUCAAUUACAUUGGUCAUAUUGCAUCAUUUCCACUUCUGUCCAGUUUGAGAAGUAGCACAGUUAAUCCAUGGGUAGUGUGGUCAUUGAAUAGCUUAUCCUAAGCUACAGGUAUCCAUUUGCAUAGCAUCAUGACAGUUUUAAUCAUUCACAGAUGUAUAUUUAUUGUCUUCACGAUGUAAGACCUACUCUUGUAUUUAUUCAUUUAUUUUUGUUUCCAGUUUUUUUCAGGUAAGGUUCAUAUAAAAUGAAAUGCAUAACUCUAUAGAGUAUAAUGUAAUAAGUUUUGAUAAAUCAGUUGAAUCAUGUAAUUCAUACCUCUAUGAAGAUGAAAAUAUUUUUAUCAUCCAAAAAUGUUAUUUUUCUAGACCUUACCACAUGAUUACACCCUCCCUAGUAUACCAGUGAUGUGAUAUUUUCCCCUCUAGUUUCCUUUUUCUAGAACUUCAUGAAAUGGAGCCAUACAGUAUGCACUCUUUUGUGUCCAGCUUCUUUUACUUAACAUAGUAUCUGUGAGAUAGUGUAUAUGAGUCAUUUUUCAUUGUUGAGUACUAUUCCAUCAUAUGAAUAUUCUACAAUUUAUUUUUCCGCUCCCUUGUUGAUGGACAUUUAUAUUAUUUCCUGUGUUUGGCUACUUUGAAUAAAUCUGCUGUGAAUAAUCUGUGCCAGUAUUUAAAGGGUAAGUUUUAUUUCUUUUGGGAAAACUUUAGGAAGAGAAUUGUUGGGUUAUUGGUGAAUGUUCAAAAUUAUUUCAAAAACUGCCAAACAGUACUCCAGCAUGGCUUUAUUUUUUUAUACCCUCAGCAACAUACAAAAAUUUUGAUUACUUUACAUUUUUGCCAACACUUAAAGUUGUUAAUCUUUUUAAUUUUGGUCAUUCUAGUAGCACUAUCUCACUAUGCUUUUAAUUGGCAUUUCCCUAAUGAUCAAUGUUAUUGAGCAAUUUUCCAUGGGCUUUUGGGCCAUUUUUAUAUCUUCUUAUAUGAAAUGCUUGUUCAAGUCUUUUUCCCUUUUAAAUUAAGUUGUUUGUCUUUCUAUUAUUGAGUUGCAGGAGUUUUAAAAUAUAUCCUGGAUAUAAAUCCAUUGUCAGAUAUAUGUUAUGCAAGUAUUUUCUCCCAGUCUGUGGCUUGACUACUCAUUUUCUUAAUAAUGUCUUUUGAUAAGUGUAAGUUUUAUUGUCAAUUAAGUCUAAUUUAUCAUUUUUUCUUUUAUUUUUUUUAAUUUUCUGUUUCCAGACUAAAAAAUCUUUUCAUACUCCUUGAUGGUAAAGACCAUCUCCUAUGUUUUGUUGAGACCUUUUUUGGUUAUUCCUUUUUGAAAGAGUUUUGGUAAAUGGUGUUUAAAACAUGUUCUAUUUCAUAUAAAUGGUAGAAUUUAUUGGCAUAAAACUGUUUAUAAUAUUUUCUUACCAUCCUUAGAGUGCCUGCAGAAUCUUGUUUGUUAUUCCUGAUAAUGGUUAUUUGUAUUUGCUCUCUUUCUUUUAAAAUCAAACUUCCUAUAUAUUUAGACAUGUUAUAAAUAUUUUCAAGGAAUAAAUUUC
rnacentral:lncRNA from 10 species